UUGUUCGCAACACUUUCAUAUAUUUUUGUGACCCACUUUUGAGUAGUGACCUACAAAUUGAGAAACACUGCCCUAGACCAGUGAAUCUCAACCAGGGUUCAAUAGCCUCAGUUUUAUGCAAAGAUUAAACAAUGCCCUUUUAAUGUUGAGGGAAGGAAGGAAAAACAGGCUCAGGUAGCAUGGGAUUUUAGAAAGAAACAAAGCUGAAAAAUCUGUUGACUGAAGUGAAGCUCAGAGACCUCUUUUGGUAAGAACUUAGGUGGUGUCCAUGGCAUCACCUGUUUGAAUAAAGGUGAUGCAAGUGGGAUCUACCAUAAGGACCUGAACCUUCCCAACUCUAUUGCUGAGGUGACUGUCAACAAGGCAGCUGUUUUCAUGGAAAGAUGAAACAAGGAACAUGUUUCCAUCAGCUCAUACACUGGAUACAUAAAAGUCAUGAAGGCGAGGUUUGGGCCACACUAAGAAACAAGAGUCCUUUCGGAAGGGAAAAUGCUCACUAUACUCUUGAGAAACUUGAGUAUAGAAGAAAACAAAAGAGCUGUUAAGCAACAAGCUGAAAAAGCCAAGUGGACUUUGAGCUAAAGCACAAACCUGAAUUUCUCAGCACCCAAUAAUGUAAGAUAGGACUGAACACUUCUAAUUGUGAAACAGCCUCUGGUUAACACCAUGUACAAAAAUUUUGGCCACUGCCAAAAAUCCUGAAUCACCUUUCUGAUCACUCUUGGGAUCAGAGGUGUGGAAAGAAAAUUAUAUAGCAGGUCUAGCAACUGUAGAAUCAUAAGUGUCCAAAAGGGAGCUAGGAGUGUGACCCUUUCAGGGGCAAAAUUUUCAGUGCUUCCCGUUGAAAAUCAAUUUACAGUUAACCCUAUUCCACAAGAAUUUGGGAGGACAGAAUUCUUGAUCUACUCAUGAUGAGCAGAGAAGACCUUACUUAACCCUUGCUGUAACACUGCAGCGGCCUCACAGAUGUACUGCGGACAAGUGAUCAUAAUAGCAGAUGCAUCAGUGCCACAGAAAAAAAGUCUCCAUGGUGAGAAGGAAAUACCUUGUGUCUUCCUACUUACUGCAGAACAGAGGAAGUGCUGCCUGUCAUUACUUGAGCAUGGCAGCCUUGAAUGCAGCCAAAGCAAGCCUUGCAUACCUGCCUGGGAACUUGCAACUGAAGGAUGUUUUGAGGCACGUUUGCUGCAGAAGACCAAAUAUCUUGCACCUGCAGGUGACCUGCAUACAUUCCCCAGUUGAGGAAAGAAGCAUCUGUAACUAUGCUAGGGAGGCAGAAGCUGAAAAGGAACUCGGCAAACAGCUAGAUCCUUCAACCAUGUGAAAGUGUUCAAUACAAAUAUGGACAUUUUCACAUUCAUUUCUAGGGUGCCUUUCUGGGAAGUAGAGCCAGAUCACAUCAGGGGUGUACAGAAGUCUGCCCUGCAGCACCAAAAGUACCCAACACCAUGCGAAUGAGACUCGCUCCAAAGGGAUGUGAGGACAUCUGGAACCUGACUAUUACUGUUUGCAGUGUAGUAUUCUCAAAGCAGGGCUCUAAUGAAGGCCAAAGAUUGCACUGGAGUCAGCACUGACUUCUGAUAAUUUACCUGGAGACCAAGUGACUGGAACAAAACUACUACUAACCUAGAUGAUAAAGGUAAUAGUAAAACCACUAUAAUCACAACCUGUUCUGCUGCAGUCUCCUUACUAGCCAGUCAUCCAGAUGAAGAAAUAAUGCAAUCCUAUUUCUCCAAAGCUGCACUGAUAUCACUGGGAGAACUGUGGUAAAGAUUCCUGGGGCCAUAGAGAAACCCAAAGGUGAGGACUUAGUGCUGAUAACAGUCCUAUCACAAUAGAAAGCAGGGGUAUUUUCUGUGAUAAGGCUGAAGAGUGAUAUGGAAAUAAGCAUCCUGCAAGUUGAAAGGUGCUUGUCUCCCUGUUGUAGAAAUGGCAUGAUAGUUGCUAGUUCAACUAUCUUGAAGUAGAGCUAGUUGAAUGCUUACAUUUACAUUUAAAUCAUUUUGGCACCAAGAAAAUACUAAAAACCUCCUAUCUUAUGAGGGGAGUAAUUCCUCUUGGAACCUUUGCCUUUUUUUUUUUUGUUUAAAGUGAUCCGAUUGCUACAUGUGAAGGGCAGUAACAGUGACAGCCCUUGUGCAAGGCAAGGCUAGAUCUUAUGAAAUCUGGACCUUUGUCUGAAAGAGUAGCAAGAGACAAAACCAUUCUGAAAUCUUUCAGAGUGGAAAGGGUUUUGUCUCUGACCCAGGGAGAUUCAACCCCUUCAAAAGACAGCACUUCAGCUGAAUUUUAGGUUUUUUUGGGCAGACCAGAAGCAGUUGAGAGAGAGAUUUCACAACCACUGCAGGGACCAUUGAGGUGAACUGGGAGCUGCUUGGAGGGCUGCCUUACAACUGCCUUCCCAUAAACCAGCGAAGCAAAGGAAUUGCUAGGCUGAGCAGAAACUCAAGUCCGUAAGGUCAAGACAUUAAAGUCAUACCUCACUAAGAGUGCUUGGUAAUUAGAGACUAGCAGUGGAGUACAAGUUUUGCCCCAUAAAAAUUCAGGCACCAGGACAUGUUUUAUAAUGGUCUGAGGUGACCAGCUCUUGGUUGCUGCCAUGAAGAGAAGGGAGGCUGGAGCAGGGCAAGUACAAAAAUUUAGCACCACUAGCAGGGAUAUUACGUACUUCCAAUCCACCUACUUAUCAACAAAGGAGCACAGAACUGAAGAGCACCAGAGCCCACAAAAGUUCCUGAAUAGCAUCAUUUUUUGCAGUGGGGGCCAACCUUUUGGCAGGUGUGCCACAAAUUAACCUCACACCCUUCUCAGGUGUUGCUGAUCCCUUUCUACUACCCAACCUGCUGCUCUGCUUUCUGGUAUUAUUCUGCUCUGCUGCUUUGCUUUCUUCCCCAUCUACCACCCAUGUUCCCUCCCUGAUCUGCUGCGUGACAGUAGCUGCCUGUGCCAUUUGUGACACCCAUACUGCAGGCUGGUCACCACUUUGUGACAAUAGCUACUUUGGGGGCCCCUGAGUAGAGUAGAAGAGCCUACUGCUUCAAUUUUCUCUUCAGGAAAAAGAAGUUAAAAGUUGCAGCGCUGAGGCAGCAGUUAAGGAACCAAAUACUAAAUCAUGCCUUCACCCUCACAAUGAAGACUACAAGCAACGACCCCUCCCCGAAGAUUGCAGACCACAAGGCCAAAUCAUGUCCUACCAAUCCGUCUGCCAACAGGACAAGGAAGAUGACCUUCACAUCUGAUUAGGCAGAAUCCAUAGACUUGUAUGGGUAGCUUUCACUAUAAAGAAUGAACACAAAGAAAAGGCUUUGGGUCUGUACACCUGCAAGAAAGUUUUGGGCAUGUCCAACGAGACCUGUCUCCAUCCCUCAUGGUCAGUCUGGGAUAGGCACCAGACUGACCCAAGUGACUUUAAAACUUGGUAACACCUUAACCUUUGCAGGACUGUCUAAAUAUCUCUGUGUCUGACCAAAUGAAUGAAUAUGUAUGGAAAUAAGUGAAGCAGAUAACCUCAUAGUUCUUUAUUCUUUUCAUGUUGCAUAUUUUAUGUUCCAAUAAAUGCAGCGUUGUGCCUUAUACCAAUAAGAUUCCUGCUUGUUUUUAAUUCACACUACACUGUAGACAACAAGCCUCAAAAGCCCCCAGGGUUCUGCAAAGGGACAGGUGGAGGAGCACUGCUGCAGGAAGGGCUGCCUUCUAACCUGGUCCUAGGGAAACAGGCCAGGAGAGAGAGGUCCUGCAGUCUGGGAGGGUGGAUUAAUAGACAUAGCCUUUAAUCACAGAAGUCUCUGCAAGUGGCCUGAGCAGCUGCCUUCCCAUAGAUGUAUAAAAGACAUACCAAGUAAGAGAAAGACGUGAGGCCAGAGGCAGGGAACCAGCAGGUGAGAAGUAUUACAGACUUCUUUGGGGAAUUGAUGGGACAUUUUUGGAUAGUACCUGAAAAUGAUUUUUGUUGUACUUAGUGUUGGGACUGCAAAUUGAUAGGUUAAUGUCGAACAACAGAGCUGAGAACAUUUGGAUUGUAAAGCACAACUGUGCUAAGUAUAGUGCUGCAUAGACUGAUGUGCUGUACUUAGUACUUCUGGUUGGAUGGAGAAGAGCCAGAGCUAAUGACUCACCAGCAAGAUUAACCAUAAAGAGCCAGAAAAGGCCACCAAACAUGCCAAGGCAGGUAGAGGAAGAAGGUAGCAAGUUGCAGGACUUACCUGGCCUCUUGCUAUCCAGAGCUUCAAUAGGACCAGACUAUCUCCAAGAAUACAAUGACCAGAGAACUUGCCUCCUGAGCUCUACAAUCCUCUGGUAUCCUUGCUGGGUUAAUUGUGCUCACAUCUGGGAAAUGGGGUUAACUGAACCAGACCUGAUGUUCUACAAGCCUCUGGAGAAUCUCAGAACCAGAACUAUUAUUGCACAGUGUGACUAAUUUGACACAGCACACUGCUCCCCAGUUGGAGUGGCCUGGAGACAGCAGUGCCUUGGUAUAUGGUUUGUUGAGGAAAUAAAGUAACAAUACUAAACGUUAUGCAAAAGAGGUACUUCCAUUUUGAAAGGAAGUACCACGUAGUUUUGAAGUUGCUGAAUUUGGUUUCCUCAAAAAUGGUUCUGAGAAGUGACCUUCUCUGUGUCUGCUAAAACCGUUGCAAUAAAAAUACAGAAGAAAUGGAAAUAUUGGCCUAGAAUAUAACUCUUAAAAACUUUUGUUUAUAGUGCUCAUUUACCACCCAGGGAAAAAAAAGCUCAAAUUUCUUGGAAUCCUAUGGAAAAGGUAAUUGUCUCAACGCCUUAAAAUAUUUAUUUAUGCACUAGUAUGCUAGAUACUCUGAGGCAGACUACAAUAACCCUGCCCCACAGGGCUUACAGUAUAAUAUACACUAGUCAGAUAAACAAGGAAGAUACAAUACAUUAAGUAGUGAAACAAACAUUUUCAAGAGUAUAUUUUUAUCUUUUACUAAAAUUAAACCCUUUGCAGAAGCAGUAUAGCUACAGAAGAUAAAACUUAUACUGAAGUAGCAUCUAAUGUACUCCCUCCCAGAAUACAGUUUCCAUUUGCAAUUCAUCUUUAAUAACCAUUACUCACAAAACCUUCACAUGCAACCAACAGGGACACAGAAAUUACAAGACUUUGGAAAUGAAGUGAUUAGCCAGUAACAGCAUUGGAUAAGAAUCAGUUGCCAUUGCCUGCAGUUAUACUUCGAUUACAAUAUUAAUCCAAAAUAUAUAUAUAUAUAUUUUUUUUUUUUUUUACUAAUAACAAGCUGUCUACUAGAUCCAAGUUAAAAGUAUACCACCACACUUUGGCCCAACCUGUCAACAUUAUGCUCAUCUGCUGUAGAAACUAACCAAGUAGAAUCUGAACCAACGCAUUUCAGGGUGAAGCCCUAACAAAGCCUGUUCAGGAUGGCAUAUACAUUUUCUCUCAAGUAUACUGAUUUUGCCACAUAAGACAGUUGUGAUUAAGGCUAAAAAAUGAAAUUUCCUCUUACGGUUGUUUUGUUUUUACACACAAACAGAAUCAGAUUGGACUGAUUGGACUCAGAUCAGGACUCCAAGUUGGCCUACUACAUUGCCACUUCCUUCCACUCUCAAAAGGUCUCCUGUAUACUGAAACUUCAAGAACACUGUUCAGUUAUAUGGGGACAUAUGGUGAGGAAGAUAUCUCUCAUCAGUAUUACUGAAUGCAUGAACUCUGAGUUGACAAGGUUCCUUGGGUGAAUCUGAUAUCUUUUAUUAGACCAACCCAAAUAGUUGGAAAAUAAUUAUUAAGCAACCUCUUGGGUUCAAAAACCCUUAGUCAGGCUAAGGAAGUUUCAGCAGUUGGUGUGUGCUCUUCCUGGAUGGAAUGAAAAGUAAAGAAGCCAGCAGCUGGGCUGAACUCUGGGUUGUAUUUUAACUAAAAACUGUCCUUUUCCUAAGAGACUUGAGACAAUAAACUAUUUUAUACUUGAGGGUACGAAACUGAUUACUCCCAUUAAUAGUCAAAAUUAACAUCUAAAAAUCAAGAGUGAAGGCCAAAGAUGAGAGCUGGUAAAAUAAGAUAUUCAAAAACCAAAUGAAAAAAAAAUAUUUGGAGACUAGGAAAAAGGAAACUGAUGUUGCUGAAUCAAAGGAGAAAGACAUGGAAGUAGAUUCAAUAUCAGUUUCUAAGCAGAGUAAUCAGGUGAGGCCGUUACCCUCUUGCUAGUUUAAACUUCUAUGCCCACUGAAACAAUGGAACAAAAGGUAAUGAAAGCUUGAACAAAGAUGUUUAGAUAGACUAAUGCUGCCAAAUGAAACAGCCAUAAUUACAUUUACUUCAUGUCCUUACUGCAACCAUUUUGUGCUGCUGUCAAAUUAACUAUGAUUUUAUUGAAAUCCAUAAUAUCCACCAGUAGGUCUUGCACAGUAAGACUUCAAAUGGGAUAGGAAUGCUCAGAUGCUAUGCCUACUGGAAGCCUAGGCAAAAGGAUAAUGGUUAGCUGCAGUGUAUUGAGCUUAUGAAGCAAGAUGCUGCUGGGAUUCUGCAGGGAUUAGUGCUACAUCGUUUUAAUAGACUCAUUAGUGACCUCGCAGAGGGAUUGUAAAAGCUUACCAUCAUGUGAGACUGAAAAUGUUAGGAGAGAAAUACCUAUAAACCUAUAUCAGACUGGGAAAAGUGCUAGCUGAUAUAGAACCUAGGAAGGCAGCAGUACUAAGAUUUGCAUUACACAUGCAUUCUUAUGUUAAUGCACAGUAUUUAAAGAGUACAGGUUAGAGUUUAGAAAUACAUAGAAGGUGAACAAUGCAGCUAUGGGCUGCAAGGUCUUCAUCUCCAAAGCAGAAAAAAUAGUAAAUUCCAUUGAGGUUCUGGUGAGAAUGCAUCUAAAUUACUGCAGGAAAAUGCCCACAGUUGCAAGACAAAUGUGUAUGGGAGGCAGAAUGGGAGGGAAAUUAAACACAUCAAGAAAUAAAAGAGUUCUAAAAAGUUGUGAAUAAAUUUAGUUGAGAGCACAGAGAACAGGUAUGAAAGUAGUGGAACAUCCCUCAGAAAAAAGCAGCUAAUUUUAAUGAUACAGAAACUGUGGUAAGAGAAUUUAAUCAUCAGCACAAGUAGCUUCAAUAAAGGGAGACAGCUACACUUUAUUAUCUGUGCCCCUGGAAUAGAUUUGCAAAUUAAAUCUAUUCUACUUUAAUGCAUUGCUUUCAGGUAUUUGGAUGCAAAUUCAUUCCAACAGCUUCCAGCUUUAAGCAUGCAUUAUAGAUUUGAGAAAAAAAAAAAUGCUUCUCCUAAAACAAGCAUCUUGGAUACAAACCUCCCCGCCCCAAAACCAAACCAAACCAAAAACCAAGCCUCAAAAAAGUAAUGCAUGGAACUGUUACAAAUCAACAGUAAAUGGUUUAUAAAAUGUAAUUUUAUUUAAUGUUACUUUGCUGUUACAUAGGGCAUAACAUUUUCACAAGGCUUUUUUGGGACUACAAUCAAUGAUUAGAAACACACAAUAGUGGUCCAACUCUCUAAAUGACAAUCACUGGACAAACUUGACACCUUCUCACAUGUGCACAAACCUGCAUGGAAAAGUACUAAAUUUUAUACUUGGACAUGUGAACUUCAAUUGGUUUCCCAUUCCAGUGUAUUAAGAAAUGACAUGCAUUUUAAGUCUGCCAAAAAAGCAUUGCCUGUACUCCGACAGUAACAUGCUGCUUCUAGUACAUAGUAAAGUGAAUACCAGAACUACAAAGGCAGGAGUGUAAGUGAAAUUUUAUUGGGAAGGGAUAUCAACUUAAACAGUAGCAACUGAAGAGUAAGAGUAGCCGGUUUUCAGACACACUGUAGCUCCUGCAGCAUAUUAAUACAGGAAGCAAUUCUGUUUGUAAUUCUCUAGC